AACGUAGGAGACAAACGUUAUCCGGAGUUACUGGGCGGAAAGGGCGCGUAGGUGGUUUCGUAAGUCUGGCGUGAAAUUUUUCGGCUUAACCGGGAAAGGUCGUCGGAUACUGCGGGACUGGAGGACGGUAGAGGCGUGUGGAAUUCCGGGUGUAGUGGUGAAAUGCGCAGAUAUCAGGAGGAACACCGGUGGCGAAGGCGGGACUCUGGGCCGAUACUGACGCUGAGGAGCGAAAGCGUGGGGAGCAAACAGG
rnacentral:rRNA from 1 species